GACGAACGCUGGCGGCGUGCUUAACACAUGCAAGUCGAACGAAAAAGAGGGGAAAGAGCUUGCUCUUUCCGGAAUUGAGUGGCAAACGGGUGAGUAACACGUAAACAACCUGCCUUCAGGAUGGGGACAACAGACGGAAACGACUGCUAAUACCGAAUACGCUUGGGAGACCGCAUGAUCUUCCAAGGAAAGGGUGGCCUCUACUUGUAAGCUAUCGCCUGAAGAGGGGUUUGCGUCUGAUUAGGCAGUUGGUGAGGUAACGGCCCACCAAACCUACGAUCAGUAGCCGGUCUGAGAGGUUGACCGGCCACAUUGGGACUGAGACACGGCCCAGACUCCUACGGGAGGCAGCAGUGGGGAAUAUUGGGCAAUGGGCGCAAGCCUGACCCAGCAACGCCGCGUGAAGGAAGAAGGCUUUCGGGUUGUAAACUUCUUUUGUCGGGGACGAAACAAAUGACGGUACCCGACGAAUAAGCCACGGCUAACUACGUG
rnacentral:rRNA from 1 species